UUGCUGUGGCAGCACACAUACAAAAAUGGGAGCAAGACAGAGAAGAUUGGUAUGGCCCUUAUGCAAGGGUAACAUGCAAAUUCAUGAAGCACUCUGAUAUGAU
ensembl:snRNA U6 U6 spliceosomal RNA